GAUGAACGCUAGCGGGAGGCCUAACACACGCAAGCCGAGCGGUAGAGUCUCUUCGGAGACUUGAGAGCGGCGCACGGGUGCGGAACACGUGUGCAACCUGCCUUUAUCUGGGGGAUAGCCUUUCGAAGGGAAGAUUAAUACCCCAUAAUAUACUGGAUGGCAUCAUCUGGUAUUGAAAACUCCGGUGGAUAGAGAUGGGCACGCGCAAGAUUAGAUAGUUGGUGAGGUAACGGCUCACCAAGUCAGCGAUCUUUAGGGGGCCUGAGAGGGUGAUCCCCCACACUGGUACUGAGACACGGACCAGACUCCUGCGGGAGGCAGCAGUGAGGAAUAUUGGACAAUGGGUGAGAGCCUGAUCCAGCCAUCCCGCGUGAAGGACGACGGCCCUAUGGGUUGUAAACUUCUUUUGUAUAGGGAUAAACCUAGAUACGUGUAUCUAGCUGAAGGUACUAUACGAAUAAGCACCGGCUAACUCCGUG
rnacentral:rRNA from 1 species